rnacentral:rRNA from 1 species
UACAGAGGUCCCGAGCGUCGUUCGGAUUCAUUGGGCGUAAAGGGUGCGUAGGCGGCGGGGCAAGUCUGAUGUGAAAUCCCGGGGCUCAACCCCGGAACUGCAUUGGAUACUGCCUUGCUCGAGUACUGGAGAGGGAACUGGAAUUUACGGUGUAGCAGUGAAAUGCGUAGAGAUCGUAAGGAAGGCCGGUGGCGAAGGCGAGUUCCUGGACAGUUACUGACGCUGAGGCACGAAGGCCAGGGGAGCAAACGGG